GACGAACGCUGGCGGCGUGCUUAACACAUGCAAGUCGAACGGAAAGGCCCUGCUUUUGUGGGGUGCUCGAGUGGCGAACGGGUGAGUAACACGUGAGUAACCUGCCCUUGACUUUGGGAUAACUUCAGGAAACUGGGGCUAAUACCGGAUAGGAGCUCCUGCUGCAUGGUGGGGGUUGGAAAGUUUCGGCGGUUGGGGAUGGACUCGCGGCUUAUCAGCUUGUUGGUGGGGUAGUGGCUUACCAAGGCUUUGACGGGUAGCCGGCCUGAGAGGGUGACCGGCCACAUUGGGACUGAGAUACGGCCCAGACUCCUACGGGAAGCAGCAGUGGGGAAUAUUGCACAAUGGGCGGAAGCCUGAUGCAGCAACGCCGCGUGCGGGAUGACGGCCUUCGGGUUGUAAACCGCUUUCGCCCGUGACGAAGCGUGAGUGACGGUAAUGGGUAAAGAAGCACCGGCUAACUACGUGCCAGCAGCCGCGGUGAUACGUAGGGUGCGAGCGUUGUCCGGAUUUUAUUGGGCGUAAGGGCUCGUAGGUGGUUGAUCGCGUCGGAAGUGUAAUCUUGGGGCUUAACCCUGAGCGUGCUUUCGAUACGGGUUGACUUGAGGAAGGUAGGGGAGAAUGGAAUUCCUGGUGGAGCGGUGGAAUGCGCAGAUAUCAGGAGGAACACCAGUGGCGAAGGCGGUUCUCUGGGCCUUUCCUGACGCUGAGGAGCGAAAGCGUGGGGAGCGAACAGGCUUAGAUACCCUGGUAGUCCACGCUGUAAACGGUGGGUACUAGGUGUGGGGUCCAUUCCACGGGUUCCGUGCCGUAGCUAACGCUUUAAGUACCCCGCCUGGGGAGUACGGCCGCAAGGCUAAAACUCAAAGGAAUUGACGGGGCCCCGCACAAGCGGCGGAGCAUGCGGAUUAAUUCGAUGCAACGCGUAGAACCUUACCUGGGUUUGACAUGGAUCGGGAGUGCUCAGAGAUGGGUGUGCCUCUUUUGGGGUCGGUUCACAGGUGGUGCAUGGCUGUCGUCAGCUCGUGUCGUGAGAUGUUGGGUUAAGUCCCGCAACGAGCGCAACCCUUGUUCACUGUUGCCAGCACGUUAUGGUGGGGACUCAGUGGAGACCGCCGGGGUCAGCUCGGAGGAAGGUGGGGAUGACGUCAAGUCAUCAUGCCCCUUAUGUCCAGGGCUUCACGCAUGCUACAAUGGCUGGUACAGAGAGUGGCGAGCCUGUGAGGGUGAGCGAAUCUCGGAAAGCCGGUCUCAGUUCGGAUUGGGGUCUGCAACUCGACCUCAUGAAGUCGGAGUCGCUAGUAAUCGCAGAUCAGCAACGCUGCGGUGAAUACGUUCCCGGGGCU
rnacentral:rRNA from 1 species